AAUAAGUAAUGUUUUGCACUAUUUACGUCCAAUGUUUGACCGUUUAUCUUAUUUAAAUUUUUUAUGAUUAGUAUUUUUUUGUUAUUAGAAUAUAAAACAUAAAUAAUAUUUUAUAUGUGACUAAUUUUUUAAAAAAAAAUCAUAAAAUUUUCAAAUAAGACGGACGGUCAAACGUUGGACAUGGAUAUCCAUGGGUUGCACUUAUU
rfam:Oryza nivara chromosome 7, whole genome shotgun sequence.